rnacentral:rRNA from 1 species
GCAAGUUGAACGGAAACGAAGGAGUGCUUGCACUUCAGGCGUCGAGUGGCGAAAGGGUGAGUAACGCGUGAGUAACCUGCCUCAAGGUCUGGGAUAGCCCCGCGAAAGUGGGAUUAAUACCGGAUGUGGCAUAGAGUCGUCUGGCUCUAUCGCCAAAGAUUUAUUGCCUUGAGAUGGACUCGCGUCCUAUUAGCUUGUUGGUGAGGUAACGGCUCACCAAGGCGGUGACAGGUAGCUGGUCUGAGAGGACGGUC